rnacentral:rRNA from 1 species
AACGUAGGGGACAAGCGUUAUCCGGAUUUACUGGGCGUAAAGCGCCCGUAGGCGGCUUGAUAAGUUGGACGUGAAAGCUCCCGGCUUAACUGGGAGAGGCCGUUCAAAACUGACAGGCUAGAGUGAGGAAGAGGAGAGCGGAAUUCCCGGUGUAGUGGUGGAAUGCGUAGAUAUCGGGAGGAACACCAGUGGCGAAAGCGGCUUUCUGGUCUGUAACUGACGCUGAGGCGCGAAAGCGUGGGGAGCAAACAGG